rnacentral:rRNA from 1 species
UACGAAGGGGGCGAGCGUUGUUCGGAUUUACUGGGCGUAAAGGGCGCGCAGGCGGCUAUUUUUGUCAGGCGUGAAAGCCCCGGGCUUAACCUGGGAACUGCGCUUGAGACGGGAUGGCUAGAGAUCGGGAGAGGAGAGUGGAAUUCCCAGUGUAGAGGUGAAAUGCGCAGAGAUCGGGAGGAACACCCGUAGCGAAGGCGGCACUCUGGGCCGGUACUGACGCUGAGGAGCGAAAGCGUGGGGAGCAAACAGG